GAAAGCUGGGCCGAAGAGAUAAAAAAGUAUUGCUUUUUUCAUUCUGAAAUUUGAAAUCAACAUUAUUCUGUCAUAUUUGUGAUCUGAGCUUGAAAUCUGUUAAUUGACAUGUGAGGCAGUUGCUAACCAUCUCUGUCAUUUAUAAAGCCUUUUGUAAGAGCACUGUUUUUCUUUCUUCUCUAUAUGUGGUGAAUACUGGAGUAGAGACUUGUGUUUUUGCUGUGGGAAUGUGAAAAACACUGGAAGCUGCUCUCUGCCAAGUUAUUUCCCCAAGGAUCUGCUUUACAUUCUGACAAUCAAUGACCUGUCAGGUGUAGUUAUGCACCAUAGCAGUGAUAUGAGGUCAAUCAGAUGAAAGCAAGAUAUUUUGAAAUCAUCUGUUGAUUUUCUGUGCUGCAAGACCAGCAUGUGAAUCAUGUCAGCAACUAUACUCCAUGUUUCAAAAACAUGUAAAAAUGUUACAGUUCUUCAAACAGAAGAAGCAGAGAUCAGAUCCAGAGUGGAGUGCUGGACAAAGAACACAAAGAUUCUGUAAACAAAGCUCCAAGCUGAGAAACACUGUGUCCUGAUGGUGGCUGGCAGCCAGAAAUAUCCAUUCCUUGGGAAGACAGGAUCAGCAGGUAGGAUCACCCAACAAGUGUGGUGACACGCAAAAAAGGGUAACUCCAAAUAUGAAAAGCAAAUAUUUGCUUAUCUAGGGUCACAAAGAAAGCUGGAAUAGUGUGAGCCAUUAAUUUAGCUGCAAGGUUUAGCUUCUUGAAAGUAAUUUUGAGGAUUUCUUCUUGAACAGGUACAAUAAAAAGCUUUAAAUAAUGCUCA
rnacentral:lncRNA from 1 species